rnacentral:rRNA from 1 species
UACGAAGGGGGCUAGCGUUGUUCGGAAUUACUGGGCGUAAAGCGCACGUAGGCGGGCGAUUAAGUCAGGGGUGAAAUCCCGGAGCUCAACUCCGGAACUGCCUUUGAUACUGGUCGUCUAGAGAUCGGAAGAGGUGAGUGGAAUUCCCAGUGUAGAGGUGAAAUUCGUAGAUAUUGGGAAGAACACCGGUGGCGAAGGCGGCUCACUGGUCCGAUACUGACGCUGAGGUGCGAAAGCGUGGGGAG